UACGGGGGGAGCAAGCGUUGUUCGGAUUUACUGGGCGUAAAGGGCGCGUAGGCGGCCUGUGCAAGUCAGUUGUGAAAUCUCCGAGCUUAACUCGGAAAGGUCAACUGAUACUGUGCGACUAGAGUGCGGAAGGGGCAACUGGAAUUCUUGGUGUAGCGGUGAAAUGCGUAGAUAUCAGGAAGAACACCCGUGGCGAAAGCGGCUCUCUGGAACGGUACUGACGCUGAGACGCGAAAGCGUGGGGAGCGAACAGG
rnacentral:rRNA from 1 species